CAGUCGCCGCUGUAAUACGGAGGGUGCAAGCGUUAAUCGGAAUUACUGGGCGUAAAGCGCACGCAGGCGGUCUGUCAAGUCGGAUGUGAAAUCCCCGGGCUCAACCUGGGAACUGCAUUCGAAACUGGCAGGCUAGAGUCUUGUAGAGGGGGGUAGAAUUCCAGGUGUAGCGGUGAAAUGCGUAGAGAUCUGGAGGAAUACCGGUGGCGAAGGCGGCCCCCUGGACAAAGACUGACGCUCAGGUGCGAAAGCGUGGGGAGCAAACAGGAUUAGAUACCCCUGUAGUCCCUGUCUCUUAUAC
rnacentral:rRNA from 1 species